AAACCAACUGGGAUUACCUUAGUAACGGCGAGUGAAGCGGUAAAAGCUCAAAUUUGAAAUCUGGUACUUUCAGUGCCCGAGUUGUAAUUUGUAGAAUUUGUCUUUGAUUAGGUCCUUGUCUAUGUUCCUUGGAACAGGACGUCAUAGAGGGUGAGAAUCCCGUUUGGCGAGGAUACCUUUUCUCUGUAAGACUUUUUCGAAGAGUCGAGUUGUUUGGGAAUGCAGCUCAAAGUGGGUGGUAAAUUCCAUCUAAAGCUAAAUAUUGGCGAGAGACCGAUAGCGAACAAGUACAGUGAUGGAAAGAUGAAAAGAACUUUGAAAAGAGAGUGAAAAAGUACGUGAAAUUGUUGAAAGGGAAGGGCAUUUGAUCAGACAUGGUGUUUUUUGCAUGCACUCGCCUCUCGUGGGCUUGGGCCUCUCAAAAUUUCACUGGGCCAACAUCAAUUCUGGCAGCAGGAUAAAUCAUUAAGAAUGUAGCUACUUCGGUAGUGUUAUAGCUUUUUGGAAUACUGUUAGCCGGGAUU
rnacentral:rRNA from 1 species